rnacentral:rRNA from 1 species
UACAGAGGUCCCAAGCGUUGUUCGGAUUCACUGGGCGUAAAGGGUGCGCAGGUGGUCAGGUAAGUCGGAUGUGAAAUCUCCGAGCUCAACUCGGAAACUGCAUUGGAAACUACCUGGCUCGAGGGUUGGAGGGGGGACUGGAAUGCUUGGUGUAGCAGUGAAAUGCGUAGAUAUCAAGCGGAACACCAGUGGCGAAGGCGAGUCCCUGGACAACUCCUGACACUGAUGCACGAAAGCUAGGGGAGCAAACAGG